rnacentral:rRNA from 1 species
GCCGGGGGAUGCAAUAGUUAUCCGGAAUCACUGGGCGUAAAGCGUCUGUAGGUGGUGAUGCAAGUCACUGAUGCAAAACUCUGGCUCAACCGGAGGAAAGCCAGUGAAACUGCAUGACUAGAGUGUGGGAGAGGUAGAAGGAAUUCCCUGAGUAGCGGUGAAAUGCGUAGAUACAGGGAAGAACACCGGAGGCGAAAGCGUUCUACUGGAACACAACUGACACUGAGAGACGAAAGCUAGGGUAGAAAAUGGG